rnacentral:lncRNA from 1 species
UUAUCAUCGUUUUAGUUUUUUCCCUAGCAAAAUUAUAGUUGUGUUUUUUUAAUUGAUUGAGAAUUAUUCAGCCAUCGCCCUGCAACACGGGUGGGACAUCAACUAGUUUGAUACAAAACCAUAGAGGCGUGAAAACAACACAAACACUUGCACGUAAUGCAACCCAAAUAACAAAGGAUUGAAAGAGUGGAUUUUUUGUCAACUCGUAAAAAAGAUACAUUCAACAAAUAACCAAUUAUGUAAAUAGCCGUGAGCCAAUGAGCUACCGUGAAAACCACAUGAACUAAUGUUUGGUAAUAAAGAGAGUGAAUUAUGUGUCUUAAGUAACACACUUAAAGCAUUUAAUACAAGCAUUAAUGAGAGUAUUUCCAAAAACUCACGCACAAUCAAGUAGGAGUGUAAGAACAUAACUUUUCAUAGAUCAAAACUUUUGCACAAUCAAUCGGUUACUCUA